rnacentral:ncRNA from 1 species
UACAUGCCAUUUGUCAAAAUCUGAUGAAUCAAAACUCUGGCACAGGCGACUUGGUCACAUAAACUUCAGAGACAUGGAUAAAAUGAUCAAACUAGACGCUGUGAGGGGAGUUCCUAAGCUCAGAAUAGAUCCAGAGAACGUUUGUGGUGCAUGUGCCAUUGGAAAACAAAUAAGAACUCCACACAAAGCUGUGAAAGUAAUCAGAGAUAAGGAGAUGAUCAGUAGCUGGUCCGAGAGGAUGAUCAGCCACACUGGGAUUGAGACACGACCCAGACUCCUACGGGAGGUAGCAGUGG